UAGUUACGCUUUAAUGAUUGAAAACAAAACUUACAUAGAACAUCACAAUUAUGCUUCGCAAAAAUCUUGAUUUUGAGAUUCAUGAAUUACUUCUAAUUUUUAUAAAGGGCCACUCUCUUAAGUGCAUAAAGCAUGAAAAUAUAUUUAUAACGGUUGGUGAAUAGGUACAAAAAUACAUGAAAUUUUGUUAUACCGUAAUGAGGCUUUGAAUGAAUACAAACCAAAACUAAAAGAAACCUACGUAUUAACCGUCUUCGUACUGUGAUAAUAAUCCAUUAAUUUAUCUGUUUGAAUGAUUUAACAGAUGACAAUUAAAUAUAGUAAAUGAAAUGCUGUAAAUUAGUAUUGGUCUUAAAACAAAACUAGUGCUUUGUAAUUGGUAAAAGUGCCCUACUCUACUUAUAUUUCAAAAACAAAUCUAACCAAUGCAUCUUUCGUAUUGAAAAGAUCUUUUGUUGUCGCUGUGCGACUUUCAUAUUCUUAACUAUUUACAAAAUCUAUAUACAAUUGUUGUUUUCGGUCCUUCAUUUAUACAUUUGGAAUGAAAAUAUUUAACAGGAAUGU